rnacentral:rRNA from 1 species
CCCCUAGAUGUUCUGGGCCGCACGCGCGCUACACUGAACAGUUCAACAAGUCUUAACCUUGGCCGAUAGGUCUGGGUAAUCUUUGAACGCUGUUCGUGAUUGGGAUAGACCUUUGCAAUUAUGGGUCUUCAACGAGGAAUUCCUAGUAAACGCAAGUCAUCAGCUUGCAUUGAUUACGUCCCUGCCCUUUGUACACACCGCCCGUCGCACCUACCGAUUGAAUGGUCCGGUGAAAUCUCGGGACGGCGGCUUGGUCGCUUGCGUCCGACUGCUGAAACUUGAUUAAACCAUGUCAUUUAGAGGAAGGUAAAGUCGUAACA